rnacentral:rRNA from 1 species
UUGGGCAAUGGGCGAAAGCCUGACCCAGCAACGCCGCGUGAGGGAUGAAGUAUUUCGGUAUGUAAACCUCGAAAGAAUGGGAAGAAUAAAUGACGGUACCAUUUAUAAGCUCCGGCUAACUACGUGCCAGCAGCCGCGGUAAUACGUAGGGAGCAAGCGUUGUUCGGAUUUACUGGGCGUAAAGGGCGCGUAGGCGGCGCGGUAAGUCACUUGUGAAAUCUCUGAGCUUAACUCAGAACGGCCAAGUGAUACUGCUGUGCUAGAGUGCGGAAGAGGCAACCGUAAUUCUUGGUGUAGCGGUGAAAUGCGUAGAUAUCAAGAGGAACACCAGAGGCGAAGGCGGGUUGCUGGGCUGACACUGACGCUGAUGUGCGAAAGCCAGGGGA